AGUUCACCUAAUGGAAAAAACGAAAAGACGCAAAAUCAUUCAUCAUGGGACAACAUACAGCACCGAACUAUAUAGGAAUUAAACAACUUUCACGUCUUUUCUAUCACCAAACCGAGUCUGUUCCAUCACAUCUAAGCGACAAUUUCGUGGUGCUUUCAAUAGUAUGACUGUUUUGAAGCGAUCAUGAAAUGGAAGCCAGGGCUAGAAGAGGAGGUGGAGCUCCUGAUAGCUGAGGUCUUAAAACAUGCCCCUGCAGCCCACACCAAAAGUUUAAGGGUCGGAUGGAACAGCAGGUGGAAGACCACAAAAUUGAAUUUCCACAUUAUUUUAAAUAAAAUAUAAUGUUAGUGUA